ensembl:lincRNA
AUGCCCCCGGCCCCUCCUCACAUGUUGCCUAGUGACCUGCCAGUGCUGUGUUUCUCAUCACCCUGUCCUCACUGGCUGUUUGGUUCAUUCUCAGACCCUGGGUGUCUCCUCAUUCUGGAGUCACUGAGCACCUGCUAUCCUGAUUCAGAAAGCAUCUCCACAUCACAGACCUCCCUGAAUUCAAGACCAGACUUUCUGCUGGUUCCUGGGUAAAAAGUCUUUAGGAAGCAGGCCACGUGAAAUUUGGAACUCCAAAGUUCAAGACUAAGUAUUCCUCAUCGUACAAUCAGAACUUGUGAGCUGAUCUGAGUUAGAGCAGUUACAAAAGCUCUUGGAAAGACUUGUUUGCCUUUGGCUUCUGGCCUCAUAUGCUGCAGUCUGGAUGAGGAGAAGGAUAACGAUGAAGCCAGACUUUUCCCCAACUUGUUUGAGAAUAUGUAUCAUAUCUAUUGACUUUAGUCCUUCUCCAUUUUUUAAGAAGUCAUUUUUGUUGUGAAACAUAACUCAUUGGAAAACACAAUUAGAUGACCAAGGUGACAAUAGCAAAGUGAACACUAGUGUACCCACCACUGGUGGCGAUUUUUGCAGACUUUGUUACACAAAUGGACUCAAACAGUGUGUCUGGCUUCUCUCACUCAACACUAUGUAUGUGAAACUUAUCCAUAUUGUGGCAUGUAGCAGUAACUUCACGUGACUGGCCCUCAGUUUACCCAUUCUGUUGAUAGAUGUUACGGUCAUUUCAUGUUUUCGCUAUUAAAAAUAGUGCUGCUGUGGACAUUUUUGCAUAUCUGAAGCAUUUGCCAGGAUUACAAUGCCUGGGCUCCACCUUGGAAAAUGCUGGUGCUAUAGUAUGAAAAUGGCUGGGGA